UAUUUAUUUCCAUUUAACCCAUAUUGUAACUCACUAGAUUUUAACCCGCGGUAUACCGCGGGGAUAAUAUAUUUUUUUAAAGUUAAUAUAUAGAAAAAUUUGCAACUUGUAUCUAUCUAUAAAAUAUUUUUAUUUUAUAAUUUACAAUUGUUAUUAAGUAACGUCCUGCCAAAUCCGUCCCGCCAACCCGUCACGUAAAAAUACUUAUUUAUUUUAUUAAUGUUGAUUUUAUUUAUGGUAUGUUUAUGAAUUAUUGUCUAAAUAUUUUGUAAUUUUGUAGUAAUUAACUGAUAUCAAAUAUCUUAACGGUUUGAUGCUUAUAAUCGAAUUGUUAUAGUUAUGCAAAAAAGCAAUAUAAAAAAUGAUAAUUUUGUAAUUUUUAAAUGAGGUUAAAUAUUUUGGAAGUUUUAUUUUAGUAACUAAUCGUGUAGUUAAUGUAGAGAGAUUUUGGGAAGAUAGUUAAAUGUCAAAUAUUUAAUUCGAAGAUUUACUUUCUAAUUAUCAAAAACAAUUAUUAAAUGUUAGUGACAGACACUGUAAAUAAGUCUCAACUUGAGGAUUUAUUUCACAAAGUGGUUGCAAAAAUGUAUAUGUAGAUGUGUAAUGGAUUCAUGAAAAUAUCUAAU
rnacentral:sRNA from 1 species